rnacentral:rRNA from 1 species
UACAGAGGUCUCAAGCGUUGUUCGGAUUCAUUGGGCGUAAAGGGUGUGUAGGCGGCGCGCUAAGUCGGGCGUGAAAUUUCGGAGCUUAACUCCGAAACUGCAUUCGAUACUGGCGUGCUUGAGGACUGGAGAGGAGACUGGAAUUCAUGGUGUAGCAGUGAAAUGCGUAGAGAUCAUGAGGAAGACCAGUGGCGAAGGCGGGUCUCUGGACAGUUCCUGACACUGAGACACGAAGGCCAGGGGAGCAAACGGG